rnacentral:rRNA from 1 species
GUCCACGCCGUAAACGAUGGGUGCUAGGUGCUGCGGGCUUUGACCCCUGCUGUGCCGUAGCUAACGCAUUAAGCACCCCGCCUGGGAAGUACGGCCGCAAGGCUAAAACUCAAAGGAAUUGACGGGGGCCCCGCACAAGCGGUGGAGCAUGUGGUUUAAUUCGACGCAACGCGAAGAACCUUACCUGGGCUAGAAAACGUAGGAACCCUGCUGAAAAGUGGGGGUGCUCUUCGGAGAACCUGCGGUUAGGUGCUGCAUGGCUGUCGU